AUUUCCUUCGGGACUGAUUAUUUUGUGACUGAGUGGCGGACGGGUGAGUAACGCGUGGGUAACCUGCCUUGUACAGGGGGAUAACAGUUGGAAACGGCUGCUAAUACCGCAUAAGCGCACAGGACCGCAUGAUCCGGUGUGAAAAACUCCGGUGGUAUGAGAUGGACCCGCGUCUGAUUAGCUGGUUGGUGAGGUAACGGCUCACCAAGGCGACGAUCAGUAGCCGGCUUGAGAGAGUGAACGGCCACAUUGGGACUGAGACACGGCCCAAACUCC
rnacentral:rRNA from 1 species